rnacentral:rRNA from 1 species
ACGCUGGCGGCAGGCUUACACAUGCAAGUCGAGCGGUAGCACGGGGGAGCUUGCUCCCUGGGUGACGAGCGGCGGACGGGUGAGUAAUGUCUGGGAAACUGCCUGAUGGAGGGGGAUAACUACUGGAAACGGUAGCUAAUACCGCAUAACGUCGCAAGACCAAAGAGGGGGACCUUCGGGCCUCUUGCCAUCAGAUGUGCCCAGAUGGGAUUAGCUAGUAGGUGGGGUAAUGGCUCACCUAGGCGACGAUCCCUAGCUGGUCUGAGAGGAUGACCAGCCACACUGGAACUGAGACACGGUCCAGACUCCUACGGGAGGCAGCAGUGGGGAAUAUUGCACAAUGGGCGCAAGCCUGAUGCAGCCAUGCCGCGUGUGUGAAGAAGGCCUUCGGGUUGUAAAGCACUUUCAGCGAGGAGGAAGGUGGUGAGCUUAAUACGCUCAUCAAUUGACGUUACUCGCAGAAGAAGCACCGGCUAACUCCGUGCCAGCAGCCGCGGUAAUACGGAGGGUGCAAGCGUUAAUCGGAAUUACUGGGCGUAAAGCGCACGCAGGCGGUUUGUUAAGUCAGAUGUGAAAUCCCCGGGCUCAACCUGGGAACUGCAUUUGAAACUGGCAAGCUAGAGUCUCGUAGAGGGGGGUAGAAUUCCAGGGUGUAGCGGUGAAAUGCGUAGAGAUCUGGAGGAAUACCGGUGGCGAAGGCGGCCCCCUGGACGAAGACUGACGCUCAGGUGCGAAAGCGUGGGGAGCAAACGGGAUUAGAUACCCUGGUAGUCCACGCUGUAAACGAUGU